rnacentral:rRNA from 1 species
ACACGACUACAUUAGAUACCCCGGUAGUCCAGGGUGUAAACGCUGCGGGCUUGGUGUUGGGGGUCCUUUGAGGGCGCCCAGUGCCGGAGAGAAGUUGUUAAGCCUGCUGCUUGGGGAGUACGUCCGCAAGGAUGAAACUUAAAGGAAUUGGCGGAGGAGCACCGCAACGGGAGGAGCGUGCGGUUCAAUUGGAUUCAACGCCGGACAACUCACCAGGAGCGACGGUUACAUGAAGGCCAGGCUGAUGACCUUGCCUGAUUUUCCG